rnacentral:rRNA from 1 species
GACGAACGCUGGCGGCGUGCCUAAUACAUGCCAGUAGAACGCACAGUUUAUACCGUAGCUUGCUACACCAUAGACUGUGGGUUGCGAACGGGUGAGUAACGCGUAGGUAACCUGCCUGGUAGCGGGGGAUAACUAUUGGAAACGAUAGCUAAUACCGCAUAAUAUUAAUUAUUGCAUGAUAAUUAAUUGAAAGGUGCAAUUGCACCACUACCAGAUGGACCUGCGUUGUAUUAGCUAGUAGGUGAGGUAACGGCUCACCUAGGCGACGAUACAUAGCCGAACGGAGAGGGUGAUCGGCCACACUGGGACGGAGACACGGCCCAGACUCCUACGGGAGGCAGCAGGAGGGAAUCUUCGGCAAUGGACGAAAGUCUGACCGAGCAACGCCGCGUGAGUGAAGAAGGUUUUCGGAUCGUAAAGCUCUGUUGUAAGAGAAGAACGGGUGUGAGAGUGGAAAGUUCACACUGUGACGGUAUCUUACCAGAAAGGGACGGCUAACUACGUG